GACGAACGCUGGCGGCGUGCUUAACACAUGCAAGUCGAACGGAAGGCCCCUUCGGGGGUACUCGAGUGGCGAAAGGGGGAGUAACACGUGAGUAACCCGCCCUUGACCUUGGGAUAACCUCAGGAAACUGGGGCUAAUACCGGAUAGGAAUCCUUGCUGCCAGGUGGGGGUUGGAAAGCCUCGGCGGUUUUGGAUGGACUCGCGGCUUAUCAGCUUGUUGGUGGGGUAGUGGCUUACCAAGGCUUUGACGGGUAGCCGGCCUGAGAGGGCGACCGGCCACAUUGGGACUGAGAUACGGCCCAGACUCCUACGGGAGGCAGCAGUGGGGAAUAUUGCACAAUGGGCGGAAGCCUGAUGCAGCAACGCCGCGUGCGGGAUGACGGCCUUCGGGUUGUAAACCGCUUUCAGCAGGGGCGAAGCUUGUGGUGACGGUACCUGCAGAAGAAGCACCGGCUAACUACGUG
rnacentral:rRNA from 1 species